AUGCUCACUUUGGCAACACAUAUAUUAAAAUUGGAACAAUACAGAGAAGAUUAGCAUGGCCCUGAGCAAGGAUGACAUGUAAAUUUGUGAAGUGUUCCAUAUUUUG
rnacentral:snRNA from 1 species